AUCUGCACCAUCUUGUCAUGUGCCUGUGCUCAUUGCGCGUUUGACAUUCUUACUCUUACAUAAUUUCCGGAUCUAUUUUAAUACUGUACAACAAAUGAGUUAUUUGGUUGUUAAAACAUUUUUUUUCUAUGCCCAAUAUCAUAUUCCUCUCUUUAAAAGGCUGUGGGAAUGACACGUCUGAGUGCUAAAUUUAGCGGUUCGAAGCUUUAUUCCACGUGAAAAAAUGUCGGGUUGUUUUCCUAACCCAAUCAAUGGGUUUCUGUAGAUUUUGAGCAGAUUGGGUUACUUUAAUCCAAAAUUGGGUUGAUUAUUCUGACCCAGCAGACUGGUCCAUUUUGGAUCUUGUGCUGGGUGAGCUCUUUCAUCCAAUUUUGGUUCAUUUUGGCCCAGCAGCUUUAACAGUGUAUGAUCAUAUCUAGCAAUUUAUUUUGACAUCUAUUACAGCUAUCAAUAAAAGAAAUUGAAAUAAAACAGCAGCAUCACCCUCAAUAGUCACAAUCUGUGAAGGUGGUCUGGUGUUCAUCUUAGAUUGAUUUAAAUUUUAGAUGAAGUUUUUUAUAUUAUGCUUCUGAGCAACUAUGUGUGCCAGACCUGCAGUGAUCUCACAAACGUUAAUUGGCAACACAUCCCCAGAUGAGUUAAACAAUUGACACUAGAAUAGAAUACAAUUCUUCAUUGUCAGAGUAGAGAGAGUAUGGCAAACUUAAACAUGCUAUAUACAGUAUAUUUAAAGGGACAAAAUAAUUUUAUCUUGUACCGUAUACUGUAUAUUAUUUUUACUUUUUUUCAGAGUUGCAUUCAUUUGUCUACAAACUGUAAAAAAAAUGCAAUGAGUAUGACAGAGUGCAACUAAACAGUAGUAGGCCUCUUGGGCUAAGGUUGAGAUAAUUCUGUGCCUUGCUCGAAGGCAGUUUAAUAGUAUGAUGAGGAAACAGACAAGCAACUCUCCUACUAUGUCGUUGCAUUAAAAAAAAAAGUCCUCAUAAAACACCUUAAACCAUGACAGUCCAAUUUCAAAGCCCAAGCCAUGCAAAUGAGCUCCUGCUUUCCAUUGAGACCCCGGAAGGAAUUUAGGGUUGAAGCAG